CUAUAUUAAAAUGGGGAACCAAAACACAAAGUGCUGGAGUAACUCAGCGGAUCAGGCAGCGUCUCUGGAGGAUAUGUGUAGGCAACGUUU